UACGGAGGGUGCAAGCGUUAUCCGGAAUCACUGGGUUUAAAGGGUGCGUAGGCGGUUUGAUAAGUCAGUUGUGAAAUUCCCCGGCUUAACCGGGUGGACUGCGAUUGAUACUGUUGAACUUGAAUCAGGUUGAGGUAGGCGGAAUGUGACAUGUAGCGGUGAAAUGCUUAGAUAUGUCAUAGAACACCGAUUGCGAAGGCAGCUUGCUAGACCUAGAUUGACGCUGAGGCACGAAAGCGUGGGGAUCAAACAGG
rnacentral:rRNA from 1 species